rnacentral:rRNA from 1 species
CUACGACGGGUACGGGUUGUGAGAGCAAGAGCCCGGAGAUGGAUUCUGAGACACGAAUCCAGGCCCUACGGGGUGCAGCAGGCGCGAAAACUUUACAAUGCUGGCAACAGCGAUAAGGGAACCUCGAGUGCCAGGUUACAAAUCUGGCUGUCGAGAUGCCUAAAAAGCAUUUCAUAGCAAGGGCCGGGCAAGACCGGUGCCAGCCGCCGCGGUAACACCGGCGGCUCGAGUGGUAACCGUUAUUAUUGGGUCUAAAGGGUCUGUAGCCGGCCGGAUAAGUCUCUUGGGAAAUCCAGCAGCUCAACUGUUGGGCUUUCAGGAGAUACUGUCUGGCUCGAGGCCGGGAGAGGUGAGAGGUACUUCAGGGGUAGGGGUGAAAUCUUGUAAUCCUUGAAGGACCACCAGUGGCGAAGGCGUCUCACCAGAACGGACCUGACGGCAAGGGACGAAAGCUAGGGGCACGAACCGGAUUAGAUACCCGGGUAGUCCUAGCCGUAAACGAUACUCGCUAGGUGUCGGCCACGGUGCGACCGUUGUCGGUGCCGUAGGGAAGCCGUGAAGCGAGC